AGGAUAAACGCUGGCGGCGUGCCUAACACAUGCAAGUCGAACGCGCUUUCGGGCUUCGGUGCGAGAGCGAGUGGCGGACGGGUGAGUAACACAUGGGUACCUACCUUGGAGUGAGGGAUACCGGCGAGAAAUCGCCGACAAUACCGCAUAGGCUUCUUCACAAGGGAAGCAAAGUGACGCGAGUCACGCUUUGAGAUGGGCCUGUGGCCGAUUAGCUAGUUGGGGGGGUAACGGCUUCCAAGGCGACGAUCGGUAGCUGGUCUGAGAGGACGAUCAGCCACACUGGGAUUGAGAACGGCCCAGACUCCUACGGGGGGCAGCAGUGAGGAAUUUUCCGCAAUGGAGGCAACUCUGACGGAGCAACGCCGCGUGCAGGAGGAAGGUUUCGGAUCGUAAACUGCUUUUCUCGGGGACGAGCAAGGACGGUACCCGAGGAAGAAGCCCGGCUAACGUACGCGCCAGCAGCCGC
rnacentral:rRNA from 1 species